AGAGUUUGAUCCUGGCUCAGGACGAACGCUGGCGGCGUGCCUAACACAUGCAAGUCGAACGAAGCUUGAAUUCAGAUUUUUUCGGAAUGACGAAUGAUAUGACUGAGUGGCGGACGGGUGAGUAACGCGUGAGCAACCUGCCCUUCGGAACGGGAUAGUGUCUGGAAACGGACAGUAAUACCGUAUAACAUAUAUUGAUCGCAUGGUCGAUAUAUCAAAACUGAGGUGCCGAAGGAUGGGCUCGCGUCUGAUUAGAUAGUUGGUGGGGUAACGGCCUACCAAGUCGACGAUCAGUAGCCGGACUGAGAGGUUGAACGGCCACAUUGGGACUGAGACACGGCCCAGACUCCUACGGGAGGCAGCAGUGGGGAAUAUUGCACAAUGGGGGAAACCCUGAUGCAGCAACGCCGCGUGAAGGAAGACGGUUUUCGGAUUGUAAACUUCUGUUCUUAGUGAAGAAUAAUGACGGUAGCUAAGGAGCAAGCCACGGCUAACUACGUGCCAGCAGCCGCGGUAAUACGUAGGUGGCAAGCGUUGUCCGGAAUUACUGGGUGUAAAGGGAGCGUAGGCGGGAUGCCAAGUCAGCUGUGAAAACUAUGGGCUUAACUUGUAGACUGCAGUUGAAACUGGUAUUCUUGAGUGAAGUAGAGGUUGGCGGAAUUCCGAGUGUAGCGGUGAAAUGCGUAGAUAUUCGGAGGAACACCGGUGGCGAAGGCGGCCAACUGGGCUUUAACUGACGCUGAGGCUCGAAAGUGUGGGGAGCAAACAGGAUUAGAUACCCUGGUAGUCCACACUGUAAACGAUGAUAACUAGGUGUGGGGGGUCUGACCCCUUCCGUGCCGCAGCUAACGCAAUAAGUUAUCCACCUGGGGAGUACGACCGCAAGGUUGAAACUCAAAGGAAUUGACGGGGGCCCGCACAAGCAGUGGAUUAUGUGGUUUAAUUCGAAGCAACGCGAAGAACCUUACCAGCACUUGACAUCCGACUAACGAAGUAGAGAUACAUUAGGUGCCCUUCGGGGAAAGUCGAGACAGGUGGUGCAUGGUUGUCGUCAGCUCGUGUCGUGAGAUGUUGGGU
rnacentral:rRNA from 1 species